rnacentral:rRNA from 1 species
GUCUCCAGCCAUGCCACCCUGAACAGGCCGAUUCUGUUUGAUCUUGGAAUUUAAUCAGUGUCGGGCCUGGUUAGUACUUGGGAUACCACCUAGGAAGACCAGAUGCUGUAGGCG